rnacentral:lncRNA from 1 species
GGUGAUUAAUUCUUCUGUACUUUUAUUUAUUUUUAAUCUGACCAGAAACUCUUCAGUUAGGGUUGCUCAUAUCCAAGGUCUUAUCUUUUAACUAUAACUUUUAACAAAUUGCUGUGGCAUUACACGAAAAGCUGGUUUGGCUGUCAGCAAAUGACAGUCUGCGUUAAGCUGCCUUAUGUUUUAAGAUAGUGGUCCUAUGCGGCCUUCUUGAAUUAAUUUCUAUUUUAUAAAAUGUUAAACAUUUGUAAGAUGUGAGGCUAAGGCUAUCUCAUGAAAGGAAGUAGCGUAAUAGUUUUGCGGUCGGAUGAUUCUUGACAAUCUGCUAAAAUUAAGGCUCGCUCCUUAAGAGCUCAAUAACUUAAAAGGUUCUUUCUGUUGGCUUAAUUCCUUUUCAUUUUUUUUUGGGUGCACUGUCCUAAAGAUUUAAUUUGGAACUCUGGCUUAUUUUUUGUUUUAGAGGAAGAACUUUAAGUUUAAAUCUUAAUUAAACAUUCCUUAUUGCAGGACGCUGCUACUGGCUACAAUUCCUGUGUUGGUAGUGACACUCAUCAUCCUAAUCAUUGCCAACCUUGUGACCUUGGGUACAGUUCUUCAUGCGGCUUUAUCAGUCAUUUGUGUUAUCGUCUAUUUCUGCUGCUUUGUCAUGGCCUAUGGGCCAAUUCCAAAUAUCCUCUGCUCAGAGAUCUUUCCGACAAGGGUACGUGGCCUCUGCAUUGCCAUCUGCGCCCUAGUGUACUGGAUUGGGGACAUUAUCGUCACCUACACACUACCUGUGCUGCUUGAUUCAAUAGGCCUAGCUGGUAUCUUUGGUAUUUAUGCUGUGGUUUGU